UUCUUCAGAAACAGCUCGUCAACCACCUCGGUAGCUUGCUAGCCAACAUAGCCGAAAGAUUCAAGCUAUUUAUACGCUUUCGAUGUAUAUUAGCUACUGUGUUUUAGACACACUUCUGUCGUAUCCACUUGUUAACCUAUUUAAUUUAAUAUUACGUUAUUUUGUAUUAGUCAGCAAUUGUAGCUGGCUGGUUAAAUUAGCACUAGUCUAGUCGCUAAUGAUAGCUAGCUAACACCCCCGACCAUGAGCUCUCUAAACUACUCCCCCCCUGUUAAAGAAGAGGGGAAAUGCUGAACAUUGUCGUGAAAGAGGAGGAGGAUGUCACAGUAAAACAAGAAGUAGACGGUGAGGCUGUUACAGUGGAAGAAUAAGAGAAAGACGUUUCAGUGAAAGAAGAGGAAUAUGCUGUUUUUGGAGAAGGAUGGGGAGAUUACUGUCACAUUGAAAGAUAAAGAGGUGGAGAUAUGAGAUCUGAUUCACACCACCUUCCUCUCCUCUGAAGACCCAGUGAGGGUGGAGCUCAGUCAGAGAGCUGUCGAGGGACUGGUUAUGAAGAACACUUUUACAGCCAGAGAGGUCACACAUGGUUUAGAUGUCAAGAAAUGGAACAGCAUGGCCACAGAACAUGACAUAGGCAGAGCUGUGGGAGACCACCUCAAGCCCCUGGUAGAGCCGGGGGUGGUGUUUACCACUCCACCACACCUUCAGCAGGCUGGGAAAGUGGGAUUGAUCUGUUUGAUCCAUUUGUUUGUUUCAGUUUUCAGUCGUUGAAUCCUUUGACGUAUUGUUGAUUUCAACAUUAUUCAUUUUCAACAAAUGCACUGGGUUGGUUGAAAAGUGAUACUUAACUUACAUACCAUGCACUAUAUUGACAUAGUGGCAGAUAUACUGAAUUGAUACUGUUUUUCAUACUAAGAUGGACCAUGCACUAUAUUGACAAGGUAGAAGAUAGCAUGACAAACAAUAUAAAUUCAGUCUAAGAUGGACCAAGAUAUGCCUUUGCACAUAUUUGUUCAUUGGUUUAGCAAGAGUCUGUUGAUUGGUUGGUUACUGGGUUAAUUUGUUUUGCUAUAUGAUCAGAUCAAGCUUUAUUUAUAUAGUACAUUUCAGACAUGGAUGCAACACAACGGCUUCACAGGAAAAAAACUAACUGAAAUAUUUAGUACACAACAAACAGAAACUUAACUGAAAGACUGAGCAUUUUAAGGAAAUGUCAUUGAUUAAAAUAUUAACAAUUGGAUCCAAUACAAAUUAUAAACUUGUUUUACUCCAUUGUUUGUUGUUACGUUCUUCAUCAAGAAAAUCAAAAAACUAAAGUCAAACUAAAUGUGACAUGAAUUGUAAAAAUAUUAAAAGCAAAUGGAAUGAAAUAAUAAAACGUAUCUUUGUCAGGCUGAAUGUUUGAAAUAUGAGGUGAUUCUAGUCAUGCUUCUUCAGUAUUGGACAUUUAGCACUUGAAUGUUGUCAAUAAAUACUGGAGUGAUGUAGGCUUGUUAAUAAAAUUGAUUAUAGACCAAUUCAUUAUACUGCGUCCAGGUGUUUAGGCUGCAACUAUGUUGAAAUUCAUUUAUCAAG